rnacentral:lncRNA from 1 species
UUUUUUUUUUUUUUUUGGUAAGAGUGAAACUAAUUCGGAAGAAAUUUUAUGCAAUGGGGCAAAAAAUGUAAGCGUAUGCAUUCGUAUGGUUAAUUAGAUACAAGGGUGUAAUUUAAGUAUUUUAACAAGUGCCCCAAUAGGUAUAUAGAAAUAGUUGUAAGCCAUAAAUUAGAUUUUUUGAUGUUAAGAUAACUUCUUCUUUGGUUUUUUUUAGCAAUAAAUGGUAAAUAUAUCGUUUUGACAUGUUAACCAAGUUUUAUAUUAACAAAAAGGAAUAGGAAGUGGGGUUUGAAUAAUUGGAUAAUAUCAUAAAACUCUCCCAAUGUUUUUGACAGUAUCCUUAGCACUAUUGAAAUUAUAAAGAUAUCAUUUACCUCUUUUAUUUUCACAUUUUUUAUAACAUGUUAAUUCCAAUUCAAAAGAUAUUAUUAGAAUACUCAUUUUGGGAAUGAGACAAUGGUUUAUUUCCAACAUUACCCUUUUGUUGCCUUACUAUUUUACAAAAAUUAUAAGUAUAUUAAUGGAAAACUAGAAACAAUGACAAAAGGCAUAAAAUGUAGUGCUGGGACAAAAUAUGCAUGCUUUUUAAAGGUACAAACAUAUACUAAAAGCUUGUUUAAGAUUUUUUUAAACUAUGUAAGUUUUUUUCUUUAGGAUUUAUCUAUUUUGUACUCUAAGUUCACAUAAAAUCAAGAAUGGACCGAUGUUAUUUUAUUGAAAUAAUUUCAAAAAUCUCUCUUGAGAUUUCUAACAAUCUCACUUGCCUCCCUUAUUUGAAAUUUUUUUUGUACCAUGUCAGUCCAAGUAGGAAAAAAUUAGAAUAAAAAAGCACUUUCAGGAGACAGAAUGGAAUUUUGUACCGCAAAUGCCCUUUGCACUUCUUGGAGUAAUUCAUUUCAAAAAAUUUUAUGUUAAUUAAAAUUGAGAAUGCAAAAAAGCAAAAGACUACAGAUGUUAUGAGGGUAAACUACCUAGAGAACCCUUAAACUAUUUCAAUUAUUUUAAAUUGGUCCCUAAUCUAUUUCAAAUCUCAAAUUGACCCAUUUACAAUACAAAGCGUCAAAUUUUGAUCCUUCAUUCCAUCUCUGUCGCUAAAGCUGAUGGAUCUAAGGCUAAAAUUGGACUGAUCCAACGGUGAAAAUAAAUUGAAGGAUUAAAAAUUAACACUCUUUACUGUUGAGGAGCCAAUUUGAGAGUUAAAAUAGAUGAGGACUAAUCUCAAACAAUUGAGAUAGUUAUAGGUUUCGUGGGUAGUUUACUCUAAAGUGAAAUUGAAGACAUUUCUAGAAAUUACAGCAGCACUAUUAAGAUGACUAGAAGCUUUAAGACUAAAGUUUCAUGCUAAUUUAACAGAAUAAAAGCACUAGAAAUAGAGAAUUUGAAAGACAGAUUUCUUAUGGAGAUUCAAUAGCUAUUUCCCGCAGCUGCUAUUCAAUAGCUUUUAUGGAGAUUCAAUAACUUUUGAUGCUCCCACUACUCCUUGCUUUUCUCUUUUGUCUGUUUUGGAUUUGGAUGUUUAUCUAUUAAGGGAGCUGCCAUUGUACUCUUAACCCAUCAAUGAAUAAUUAAGCCUAUCUUUAAAAAAAAAAAAAGCUAUUUCCCGCAUGAUUUGAAGCGAUAUAACACCCGUAUCAACCAUUUUGAGUCAAUCUUGAUAAGUGAAUAUUUAACGUAUAUUUUGUACAAGUUUGGCAUGAACUUUUGGUAUGUUUUCAGAAGAUUAAAGCCAUAUUUGAACUCUUUUGGUGAUAAUUGCUUAAAUAUUGUUUAAGUGUUCUAAACUUGAUAAAUGAGUGGAUUAAUGCGUUAAUUUUGUGAAAUUGUGAAGGAUAUCGAUUUAUGAAAUUCAUGCACAAGAUGAAGGGAAUGUAAGGAUCGUCCAGAGGAUAAAGUACAAAAGAAAUUAGGAGCAAAAAUGAAGGAACAUACAAAGAAGUGAAAAACUGAAAAUUUAAUGGCACGGAUCCGUGAGAGCAAAGAGGGAUCCGAUCCCUCGUCUGUACUUCUAGAGGAGUAUAUCCGAGAUCAAAGGAUCCGACCUAGGAUCCAUCAUGGAAAGACCUCGGAUCCUUAAGAUCCGAGCUCGGAUCCGUUUUCACCCCUCGGAUCCAAGGCUCGGAUCUAUCUCUCUCUUCAGCAAGUGGCAAAGCCGUUUUUCUUUACCUUUCUCACAACUUUUCCAGCUAUUUUGAGGGAUAGAAAUCGGUGGCACAUGCUUCUGCAACAAAAGAGAAGACCAAAUGAGUGUGGACAAAAGGAAACAUCAUAUCUUUGACUUCUUUUUACAAAAUCUGAGUGGAGGAAAUUAUGAAGUGAGAGGAAUGGACUUUCUACCACCUUUUAUGCAGAAACACAGGGGAGAAGUCAGGACAUAACAUACGUAGCUAGUUUUCCUUUUUGUAACUAAUUUUCUCUCUAGCUAAGAGUUCUUGGAGAAGUAUUUGGAAUUUUCACUUGUAAUCAUAUUGUGCAAGAGCAUAGCAGGAAUUUGAGGGCUUCACCAUCAAUUGGCUAAGCUUUCUUUUAUCUUUCUUGUACUUGUACUUCAUGAUGUUUUGCAUUAAUAAACUUGUGAGUUUGAUUGUUAAAUCAUUCAUGAGUAACUAAACUCCAUAAUCUAGGGAGUAGAUGAAACUUAUGGCUAAAUAAUAUGAAUUGAAUGUGAUUUACACUUGUUAUAUCUUGUAUUAACUUGUUUACUUGUGUAGCUGUGAUUACUUGUUAUUGAUUGAUCACCAAUAGCAUAUUUAUAGUUGUUAUUGUUCAAUGAAAAAUGGUAGUAGCAAUGGAAAAACAUGAGUAGAGCUUAAGUUGUAUGUUCAUGAAAAUAGAAAUACACUUAAGUGGAUUACUUAGCAUUUCAUGAAAGAAAACAGAGGAGUAUUAGUAUUUCACUAUGAAAAUAGGAAAAACUAAACUACUCUAGGCCAUUUCAUCAUGAGAAUGAGACUUGGUAAUUUUGGAAAUGAAUCUGGUGAAACAAGAAUAAUUACAAGAGGUAAAUCCAUUCAUUUGUGUUGUUUAUGCCAUAAGUGGAAUCUACAUCCCUAGAGUCUUUCUCGAGUGAAAUUUCUCCAUUUGAAUUUAGCAUUUGUUAAACUAGAUUUGUGUAUCAGAUUUGUAGACUAUAGCAAUAUACUUUCUCUGCUCAAAUUUAUUGUAAGUCUAAAUAAUAGAGAAAAGUAAGGGUCUAGUACUUGUUUAAAUUGCUCCUCAUGGGAUCGACCCGAUACAUACCCUACAUUACAGUUUCAGCCUGUAUACUUGCAGCUAACGGGUAUAAAAAUUGGAUUUAAACUUGUAUUGAUAUAAAAAUUCCGUCAAAUUUUUGGCGUCAUUGCCGGGGAGCGGCAAUAUUAGAGCCUAAUCAUCCUUAUUAAUUUAGACAGCCUUAUUUUUUAUUAGUUGAGCUGAUUAUAUUUAAUCCUACAUUGUAAUCAAAUUUUGACAAUUGAAGUUGCAUAAUAUCUCUUAUUCCUAUUUGUAGUGUAUGCACCGGGCAUCUCGAGAAAUUGUACUUUUCGAUCUAGAAAUUGAGAGGACACUACAUAGACAAAGAAGGAACACACCACAGCAAGAGGAACAAGAAAUUUGGCUACCAAUAGAGGAAAUCUUAAUAGAGUUUCCAUUUGAAGAAGAAAUGGCAGAAAAUGAAGCAAAUAGGCGAGUUCUACGAGAUUUUGCUCUACCGGGAACACAAGGAUCUCAAACGAGCAUAACAAGGCCUUCGAUAAAUGCUAACAAUUUUGAAAUUAAACCAUCACUUAUUCAAAUGAUUCAACAAUCUCAAUUUGGAGGUAAUGCAGUAGAAGAUCCUAAUACACACUUAGCUACAUUCUUGAAAAUUUAUGAUACAAUUAAAAUGAAUGGAGUUAGUGAUGAUGCUAUAAGGCUAAGAUUGUUCCCAUUUUCAUUGAGAGAUAAGGCCAAACUUUGGCUACACUCUCAUGCUCCUAAUACUUUUACCGGAUGGGAUGAUUUAUCAAGAGCAUUCUUAAAUAAAUAUUUUUCACCAGGUAAGACUGCUAAACUUAGAAUGGAUAUCACUAGUUUUAGCCAAUUGGAAGGUGAAUCAUUAUAUGAGGCAUGGGAAAGGUUUAGAAAUUUGCUUCGAAAAUGUCCACAUCAUGGACUGCCAGAGUGGUUAAUCAUACAAACCUUCUAUAAUGAUUUAGUUUUUUCUACUAAAACUAUGAUCGAUGCAGCUGCAGGUGGAGCUUUGAUGGGUAAAUCGCCCCAAGAAGUUUAGAAUUUGAUAAAAGAAAUGGCAGCAAAUAACUACUAAUGGGCCAAUAAGAGAGGUAAUACAAGACGUCACGCAAGUAUGAUAGAAAUGGACACUCUCAAUAUGCUGAGUGCUCAAAUGAAUAAUGUGAUGAAGUUGCUAAGUAGACAAAGUGGAGUUGGUCCAAGUUCAUCUAAUGCACAUGUAGCGUGUUGUUCUAUAUGUGGAGAUGAGCAUGAUACUAAUGAGUGUGUUAAUUCUGAGCAGGUACAAUUCGUCACUAAUUACAAUAGUAAUGCUCAAAACAACCCCUACUCGAUUACUUACAAUCCUGGGUGGAGAAAUCAUCAAACUUUGGAUGGAAGGACCAAGGAAAUCAACCAAGGCCAGCCAAUCCACCGGGAUUUCAAUCAAGACAACAACAAGCUGAAACCAAACCUGGUUGGGAGAUCGCUGUGGAAAAGCUUGCUAAGGUUACUUUGGAUAGAUUCAAGCGAGUUGAGGGGCGGCUGGAUCAAUUGGCUGGAAUGUAUAGAAAUUUGGAUGUUCAAAUUUGUCAAAUUGCCAAUGCGAUCAACAACAGAAACCCUAGUGAAUUUCCGAGUAAAAUCGAAAUGAAUCCGAGAGAGCAAGUCAAUGCUAUCACUCUUAAAAGUGGUAAAAUGGUUGAGGGACCUAACUCUAGUAAUUCAAGUGGUGAAAAGGAUAAGGAGCAAGCAUAUAGAGGAGUAAAACCAAGCCAAAAUGAUAAUGUAGUCAUUAAUAUUGAUGAACCUCCUCCUCAGUUAAAUUCUAAUGUGAUUCCUUUUCCUCACAGGUUGAAGAAAGAUGGACAGGAUCGGGAGUUUGAAAAGUUCUUCAGAAUGUUUAAACAAUUGUACAUUAACAUUCCUCUCAUUGAUGCUAUAACACAGAUUUCCUCUUAUGCGCGUUUCUUGAAAGAUAUCAUGUCAAGAAAGAGGAAAAUUGUAGAUAAUGAGAUGAUAGCAUUAACGGAAGAGUAUUGUGCAUUAAUUAAGAACAAACUCCCUCCUAAAUUAAAAGAUCCGGGAAGUUUUUCUAUUCCUUGCACUAUUGGUCAAUUGCAUUUUUCUAAUGCUUUAUGUGAUUUAGGUGCAAGUGUUUCACUUAUGCCAUUAUCGGUUGCCCGGAGGUUGGGACUUCAAGAGUUGAAAGCUACCAGUAUCACAUUGCAGUUGGCGGAUCGGUCAAUCACACAUCCAAUUGGUAUUUUGGAAAAUGUGCUCAUAAGGAUAAGAUAAUCUAUAAUACCUGUAGAUUUUGUUGUCUUAGAUAUUGAGGAAGAUGUGAGAAUGCCAAUUAUUCUGGGACGACCGUUUUUAGCCACUGCACGAACUAUUAUUGAUGUGGAAAAAGGUAAGCUUAUAUUACGGGUUAAUGGUGAGGAAUUGAAAUUCAAUUUGGAUAAUAAAUAAGGGAAUAUAGAGCCUAUUGCUUUUGUUUCUAAUAUGACAUGUGAUGAAAAGGUUAACCAAGAAAGGAACGAAGAAGUUAAAUUUAUAAAUGUUCUUGGUACUAACUUUUAUGGUGUAGGAGCAAGGGAAGAGAAGAUAAGGGUAGAAGUUGGCUUAACAAAUUCGCCAUUCCAUGAAAAAAGUGAAGAAAAAUUGAGCCAACUCGAAAAAGACAAGCAAAUUCCACUCCAAGGUGAAGUCGGGCCUUUAUAUGACAAGUCUAAUACUCCUCCUUGGCAUUUGAGGAAAUUGGACUAUGGAGAUCAAUGUAUGGCUCACCACAUGGUGGAUUGGCUCGAAAGUUUCGACCCAUGGAGACAAAAUCGCUCCCUAAUGUUCUAAAAUGAUUCAAUUGUUUUUUAGUCGAGCCAACGACGAUAAAUAAAAGCGCUUGUUGGGAGGCAACCCAAUAAUAAUAUUGUAUUUGUGUGUUUUUAUGUGUUUCUUACAUUUUGGUGUGAUUUAAUUGACUAAUUAAAUGUAUUUCACUUGUUUGUAGGAGGUAUAGGAAUCUUAACAUCCAUCUUGGAGGUGCAUUUGAAGAACAAGUGUAAAAAGGGAGGAUUCUUACCAAAAUUGUGCUUUAAGUGUUUAGAAUUACCAUUCAUAUAUGCAGUGUGCAUUUCAAGUAUAUUCAAGUGAGUUUUGUUGAUAACAUGUUUAUAAAUACUCAUGGACUCAUUUGAUAUGCAUUUAAUGCCCAAAGGUGCUAUUUUGGUGUACAAGUGUAAAAAUGAGCAAAGAACCUCACCCUUCGAUUUGUAAUAUAGAUGUGUUUGAUGUGAAUUGAGAGGUUGGAUAUUGUGUUUAUGGUAUAUUACAUGUGUGUGGAAGGUUGGAAUUGAUAAAAAUUGCUUCCAAUGUGUGUUUUGGAAUUGGACGGAAAAGGGAGAAAAAAAUUUUUGAAAAAUUGCAGUUUCUGCAAUUAGUGCAGAAAAAUACAGAUCCGAGCUCGGAUCCUAAGUACCCAAGGGAUCCGACGGCGGAUCCUUUGAUCCGGGCUCGGAUCCAACAAUUUCCAGAAAGAUCCGAGGGCUCGUCUAUGCUUCUGGCAGAGCGGAUCCGAGGGCUUCCAGAACCGAUCCGAGCUACGGAUAUAGCAGAACCGAAGCCUCAUUUCUGCAUUUUUUUUCAAAUUCUUCUUCCCUCUUCUCACCGAAACCCUAAUCCCUUCCUUCAAUCUUCCAUUUCAUCCAUAAAACAUCCAAUUUUUUACCAGAAAAACAUCUCCCAAGCUCUUUUGAGCAUAAACCCUCAGUUUUCUGAAAUCAAAAACAUCAAUUUGGUGAGUUCGAUCGUCAAAACUGAAUUUCGGGCAGCACCUGAUUUUUUCAAAUUUGGGGGUGAAUUUGGACUAGUUUUUUCCGCAUUUUUCAUCAUUAUCAUCCUCUAGCAUCUUCCUAUACAUCUGAGGUAACAAUUUGCAACUUUCUCAGAAAUUUUAUAUUUCCUAUUCUUGCAUUUUUCUAGUUUUUGGGCGUAUUCUAAUAAUUGGUUAUAUGUUGAAAUUCUUGUUAUAAAUGUGCUACAUUGUACUAGAAUACAUUGUUACUAACAUUUUUGUGCUUAGUAUAGGGAAAAUUGUGGAUUUGGUGAUAUUUUUGGUAUUUUUUAAAAAAAAUUUAUUGAGCUUGAGCAUUUUGAUAAUUUAAACUUGUGAUUUUUUGCUUUCAUUAGAUAUUUGAAUUUUUUCUGAGGAGUAUAAGUCACUUUUGUACCAAUUAAAAGUGAUAUGCGAUUAAUAAAGAACAUUCAAUCUUUUUGCUUGAAAUCUCUUAUCUCUUUGGGUUAAUUUGCAAUUGUUUUGGUAAAUUUAGAGCUCAUUCAUAUGCACUUUAUUAAGAAUGUGUAUAGCUAAUUGUGGUGUGAUUUGUGGAUAAAGUUAAGAAUAUAUUGGCAUGUACAUUCUUGAAAUAAUGGUUGAGGUUCAAAUGAUCGAACUCUUUGAUGAGAUUCUACCUAAAACUAUGCAUUUGAGUUUGAAAUGAGUUAAGUAGGAUCUUUGGUUGCUUUUUGGUACAUGUUGGCUGGGAGUUUAGCCCUUUUACAAGGGGAAAUUCUGCCGAAAUUUUCUUAAAUUCCUAUUUAACAUGUAUGAGCAAGUUUCUAUCGUUUCUAAUAAAUAUUCAUCUUGUUUAUAGGUACUAUGGCUCGUACAAGGAGGGCUCGUAUUUGUACUCCUACACCAUCGUCAAGUGAAGAACAUACACCUUCUUUGCAUGAGGAGUCACCUGAGGAAGAAUCUCCUUCGCCUGAGCCACCAUCUCGAUCUCGCCGGAAGACCGCAUCCACUAGCCAUGACGAGCCAUUUCCUGACUACAAUACCACUCGUUUCAACUCGCUCGAGAAUCAACAGUGGUACGAGGCCGGUUUGGACAAAGAAAUCAUCAUUGAAAAACAUUGGCACCAGAGGUAGAUGCAUACUACCACAUAUCCACGGCAUUCAAGCGACUCGGAUGGGAGACUAUACUAAAUUUGCCGAAGCAUUACUAUCCCAAUCUGGUCCGGGAGUUCUAUGCCAAUGUAGAAAACAAACAAAGUCACAAUGGCAACCUCAUCGUCUCCUGGGUUCGAGGAAAGAGAGUGGCUCUCAAUCGGGAUACAAUCGCCAAAUUCGUCAAACUCAAGGACGACGGGAAAAACGUGAAAUUGACCAAAGAGUUUAAGGCACGUGAUCCAUGGCAAGUGAGCGAAGCCGUAUCACGUCUUAAGGGUCAGCACCGGGAACGAGGAAGCUCGAAGGAACUCCUCGUUUAUGCCGAUUCAUUUGAGCCUAGGUACCACCUUAUCAUUUAUCUCUUUGCUUUUAAUGUGGUACCUAAGAGGAGUGGAAAAAGGGAAGUUCGAAAUAGCGACCUUUACUUUUUAGAUAAGAUGAUGAAUGGAAUAGGUCGGCAGCUGAUAGAAAUUCCUCUAGACAGCAUCAUUAUUAGCUAUAUGCGCACUACAGCCCGCAUGCGAGCCGGUGAGACUUGUUUUGGGUUUCCUCGUCUCCUCAUUCUUCUGUUUGAAAAGUUCAAGGUACCCUUGGGUGAGGAGAGAACCAUUACUACCAAAGCAGUUGAUGAGGUCAAUGUUUCAGUAUUACAGUCUUUGGGUAUCCCUACAGAUUUUGGAGUUUCUCUAGUUCGAGACACGGGAGAGGCUUCAACCUCAACUCAGCCUCCACCUCACACUCAACAGGAACUAGUAGUUCAUGAGAUAGAGGCACAACAGACUCUUUCUCCUCCCGUUCCGCGACCACCACCUCCGCCGCAAUCCAAGUGGCAAGAGCUCCCCAAUGCCAUCUGUUGUAUGGAGACUCGAGUCAUCCAGCGCAUUGACCAGACCGAGCGGAUGAUGACGGAGCGACUCGACAGACAUGAUCGCCGUCUUUGUGCGAUCGAGGACCAUUUCCAUAUCUGCCGAUCACCUACUCCGACGCCUCAGCAGGAGAAGGGACAUAUUGGUACAUCACAGGGUUCUCAAGGAACUGAGGAGGCAGUAGACCCUCGUUCCGAACAGCCAUGAAGAUCUUCAUUUUCAUUGAUUGCUUUAGUUUUCUUUUAUUGUGUUCGGUUUAAACUUUGUAGUUUUUAUAUUGAAUUUUCUUGUGCUACUUAUGUUUUUCGUAUCCUUUUGUUUCAUUGUGGACAGAAUUUGGAUGACCGUGAGGAUUAAUGGCUUCAAAUUGAAUCAUCACUUAUUUUGAGGAAAGUUUCAGUUUCUAUUACCUUCCCUACAAUGAGGAUAUUGUUCAAUUUAAGUGUGGGGGAGGGAUUAAUUUAUCUUAUGGAUGAUUGUGUCUUGAAAUGCAUGAUGUGAGUUGUCGAUGGCUUAAAAAUGUUGGAAUUAUAUUUGGAAAUAUUGUCUUGAGGGUAAUUUUCUUGAAAUUGAGGCUGUUGGCAGGGAGUUUUGUCCAAUUAUUUAGGGAAACUCUGUCAAAAUUUUUUCUAAAAUAUUUUCCAAUAUUUCAUUGCAAUUCUUUCAAAUAAUGGCCAAAAUGUUCAAAUUUGAGUGCCUAAUUCUUCCAUUGGAUAAAAUGUUAUAUGUAUUUUGGGAAAGUUUAGUCCUUAUUUGACAUGGAAUUAGUCAUUAUGCAAUUAGAAUUUUUACAUUUUAGAAAGUAUAUUCAGUUAAAUAAGAAAAAUUAUACUUAGAAUUUUGCAUGUUUAAUGAUAUUUCUCAUUUUUACUUAAUUUUAUAAGUAAGUGAUUGAUAUAGUCAAUACAAGGCCAGAUUCUUCCUUUAAUUAUGCUUAGAGGGAAAAGAAAAAAAUGAUUGUUUAAAAAAAUCAAAAAGAAAUUAAAAAUAAUAAUAAUAAUAUUUUCUACUCCAAUAAUUCGCAUACUGAGUAACCGGGGGUUAGCAUUUACAAAUGUCGACAUUCACGUCAAAAGGUAUUGGAAUUAAGAGUAUGCUUAGCAAUUUGAAUAAAUGAAAUGUUGAGUAAUCGGGAAUCUUCACCAAAAAGUGUUGAUUUUCGCGUAAAAAGACAUUUAUACUAUUUAAGUAAAAUGAAAUAUGAAUAAAUCCCUCUUAGUUAUGAAAAUUUUGAUGGUCAUGGGAUGAGGAAGGCCAUAGAAUUGACUAUGUGAUUUACUUAUUUGUAGAAUUAGGAUAGAAUGAGAGAUUGAGUUGAAUUUGUUAAAAUUAAGGCAUAAUUAUUUUUUUUAAUUGAAUAUUAUGAGUAUUUAGUGUAAUCUGAGAAAUGGCAUAAUGAUUGAUUUCUAGGUUUUUGAGGAAUUAAAUUUGACAAAAGUACGUAUAUUGUUUUAUCUAUUGAAUCAUUGAAGUAAGUUUUGUGUAAAUUGCUUGAGGACAAGUAAUGAUUCAAGUGUGGGGGAAUUUGAUAAGUGAAUAUUUAACGUAUAUUUUGUACAAGUUUGGCAUGAACUUUUGGUAUAUUUUGAGAAGAUUAAAGCCAUAUUUGAACUCUUUUGGUAAUAAUUGCUUAAAUAUUGUUUAAGUGUUUUAAACUUGAAAAUGAGUGGAUUAAUGCGUUAAUUUUGUGAAAUUGUGAAGGAUAUCGAUGUAUGAAAUUCAUGCACAAGAUGAAGGGAAUGUAAGGAUCGUCCAGAGGAUAAAAUACACAAGAAAUUAGGAGAAAAAAUAAAGGAAAAAGGAAAAAAGUGAAAAUUUGAAAAUUUAAUGGCACGGAUCCGAGCUCGGAUCCGUGAGAGCAAAGAGGGAUUCGAUCCCUCGUCUGUACUUCUUGAGGAGUGUAUCCAAGGUCAGAGGAUCCGACCUCGGAUUCGUUUUCACCCCUUGGAUCUGAGACUCGGAUCUGUCUCUCUCUUCAGCAAGUGGCACAACCAUUUUUCUUUACCUUUCUCACAACUUUUCUAGCUAUUUUGAGGGACAGAAAUCGGUGGCACAUGCUUCUGCAACAAAAAAGAAGACCAAAUGAGUGUGGACAAAAGGAAACAUCAUAUCUUUGACUUCUUUUUACAAAAUCUGAGUGGAGGAAAUUAUGAAGUGAGAGGAAUGGACUUUCUACCACCUUUUAUGCAGAAACACAGGGGAGAAGUCAGAACAUAACAUACGUAGCUAGUUUUCCUUCUUGUAACUAAUUUUCUCUCUAGCUAAGAGUUCUUGGAGAAGUAUUUGGAAUUUUCACUUGUAAUCAUAUUGUGCAAGAGCAUAGCAGGAAUUUGAGGGCUUCACCAUCAAUUGGCUAAGCUUUCUUUUAUCUUUCUUGUACUUGUACUUCAUGAUGUUUUGUAUUAAUAAACUUGUGAGUUUGAUUGUUAAAUCAUUCAUGAGUAACUAAACUCCAUAAUCUAUGGAGUAGAUGAAACUUAUGGCUAAAUAAUAUGAAUUGAAUGUGAUUUACACUUGUUAUAUCUUGUAUUAACUUGUUUACUUGUGUAGCUGUGAUUACUUGUUAUUGAUUGAUCACCAAUAGCAUGUUUAUAGUUGUUAUUGUUCAAUGAAAAUUGGUAGUAGCAAUGGAAAAACAUGAGUAGAGUUUAAGUUGUAUGUUCAUGAAAAUAGAGAUACACUUAAGUGGAUUACUUAGCAUUUCAUGAAAGAAAACAGAGGAGUAUUAGUAUUUCACUAUGAAAAUAGGGAAAACUAAACUACUCUAGGCCAUUUCAUCAUGAGAAUGAGACUUGGUAAUUUUGGAAAUGAAUCUUUGGUGAAACAAGAAUAAUUACAAGAGGUAAAUCCAUUCAUUUGUGUUGUUUAUGCCAUAAGUGGAAUCUACAUCCCUAGAGUCUUUCUCGAGUGAAAUUUCUCCAUUUGAAUUUAGCAUUUGUUAAACUAGAUUUGUGUAUCAGAUUUGUAGACUAUAGCAACAUACUUUCUCUGCUCAAAUUUAUUGUAAGUCUAAAUAAUAGAGAAAAGUAAGGGUCUAGUACUUGUUUAAAUUGCUCCUCAUGGGAUCGACCCGAUACAUACCCUACAUUACAGUUUCAGCCUGUAUACUUGCAGCUAACGGGUAUAAAAAUCGGAUUUAAACUUGCAUUGAUAUAAAUAUCCCGUCAAAUCUAAUCAUUGAUUACCAGAAAGGAAACCAAAAUAGGUUGGAAUUAAAAGAUCCAAUUUGAUGCAUAAUAGAUAAUGCAAUCUUGAAGUCAACACCAUAACCUACAUAUUUUAAUAUUGCAAUCCAAAGAUGCACAAAACGCCAUCUUACUCUGGUGUAGCGAGACUGUGAGGAUUGCAAAGUUCAAUAUAGUUCCCACUAACUUUCACAAAGACCAUGAGUGGCAGAAUAUUGGAAGUAAAGCCAUAGAGCUCCACUCAACAAAAGGCUACAUAUGCUAAAACCAUAGUGCUCUAUGAACCUCAAUACCAACCUUUUUUCCCAAUAAAAACAGAGUCAAAAACUAGUUUAAUCAGAAAAUAAGGAAGUUUUUGUGCAAUCAAUCAUCAUGUUGUCCUCAUUUAGGGAUAAUUUCAGGAAUCUCCCUUUGAGGUUUCUGAUAAUUACACAUAAAUAUUCUCCAAUAUCAAAAAUUACGUUGCCCUCCCCUUGAUUGACAUAUUUGAUAACAAAUUAAGUCCAUGUUAGAAAAAGUAAUCUUACAAGUAAUGAAUCGGUCAUGUCAAACAAUUAUAUUCUAAGUUUGCCCUCAUUGAACCUACAAGAAAAUGAGUUAAAAUUUUGGGCAAGAAAAUUGGCAAUAAAAAAAUGAAGAAAAAUUGGCACCAAGUUGAUCCACUUAGGACAUGAAAAUAACAUUAAACAAUCAGCAUUCUGGAUAGUAAAGUCCUACAAGAACAGUUGGAACUUCAACGGUACUUUGUGGACAAUAUAUAGCAAAAAAUGCUAGUGAAUGAGCAAAAAAUAGAGGACAAUUUCAUCAACUGAAUACAAAGGCAACUAGAGAAAUAAGUCUUCAUCAAACUAUCACUAGAGCUCAUUUCAUGCUGGCACAUCAUUAAGGAUAAAAAACUGAAAUUGUGGGUGUGGAUGCAAAACAACAAUUAAAAUUUUCAAAACCCAACAAAAAAAUCCUGACAAGUUAUAUUUUUGUUGUUCUAAGUAUGGCUAUUUUGAGUAGUUUGACGGCAAUGAAGCUAAAGAAGUGAGUAGUCGAAAAUGAGAAGAUCCAACACAAGUUCAAAAAUCAAAAAGCAUUGGCAGCAAUAUAUUGUCACCUAUCCAAAUGCUGAUAAUGAUCAACUUCAGUUUACUAACUAUAUUCAUUUUCAUUCAGAUUGUAAAGUCCAUUUGAAAUAUGGAUAAAAUUGUAAGAAUGUGUCACCAAAAGUUGAGCCUUGGUUGUUAUAUAGUGGAAGAACAAAAAGCCACAAAAUUGUGGAUUUAAAUUCAUCUACAAUAUUUAGUAGGAGUUUAUCUACCAUGCUUCAAAAUCAAAGAUUCCUACAAAGCAUUAUAAAAUAAAUAAAUUAAAACAAGUCUUAAUAUAAUAAAAAAUAAGGUCAUACACUUCAAGUUGACUGAAUACCCAUAAUAAGCAAUUCAAGGGAAAAAAACCAUCUCCACAAGGUCAUACACUUAAUGGUGCCAAAUUGCAUAUAAACAUAUUAUACUUGGAAGACGAUUCCCCAUAUUUCUAGUAUUUUAGGGAUUUUGUAAGGGUAUUUUAAUCACUUUAUUGCUAUUGAAUGUGACAUCUAGUUACAUCAAAGUGAAAGGGAGGUCAGUGUAAUAUUUAAUAUUGAAAGGUAUUUAUAUGUAAUCACAAACGUCCAUUCUCAUUUAUAAAGAACGUUACAAUUAAUUUAGUAGUCAAUUUAAGAGUCCUCAUAGAAACUCUCUUAUGACAACUCAAGUCCACGAAUACCCAUGUGACUUUGUCAUUCCUCCAAGAAUAAAGAAUUAAUACAAUCAAUUUUACUUAACCUUCAUGAAUUUUGACCUUUCUUUGAAAUUUGAACCUAGUCAAGUAUAGAGAGUUUGAGAGAAUUCUUGAACUCAAAAAAUCAAUGUCCGGAUGAAUAUCAUACAUGCCAUUACAAAAUCUGUGUAUGAACGCCAACUGAGUAGCCACUUAAAAAAUAGUAAGAUGAGAAUAAGCAUGCUACUACUCAGAACUACUACAAAACCAACUAGACACGGUUGAGGACAAUCAAUAUUAACCAAAACCAAAGGGAUCCAAAUGAGCUUUGCUAAAACAGAUCAACAUCUCAAAAAUCUUUGGUGUCAGUUCCCAUCCAAUAUUCAACAAUUCCUUAAUAAAUUCUCAAACAUCCGAGAACAUGUUCAAUGGGAAAAUAGCAAGCGUUAUCUAGUAUCACAAUCUGGUGAGUCAAGCCUUAAGUAGCAGGUUUUAUGAGAACUUUAAUGAACAUUCUUAACAAUUCACUGUUGAACAGAGAUAUUUGGUCAGUUUAUGCAGAAAAACCUUACUUUUGCAUUCUUUUGACAAAUAUUAUUAUUUGCUGCACGGGAACAGAUAAUUAGAUCAGAUGUUUCAAAUGGAAGGCAAAAGGAGAAAAUGGAUUAGUAAUAUUAGAAAGAAAAUGGAGAUAUGAAGAGCAAUAAUGAUUCUCUCCGACCAAUUCUCACAAGCCUUAAAGACACUAUUUUGCAGCUCUAAUUCUUUAUCAUACAAUUUAUGUAACCCAUACACGAAUAUCCUGUGAACUGUCAUGCUUAUGAAUUUCAUGACUGCAAUACUGUCAAUGCUGC